UACGUAGGGUGCAAGCGUUAAUCGGAAUUACUGGGCGUAAAGCGUGCGCAGGCGGUUUUGUAAGUCUGUCGUGAAAGCCCCGGGCUCAACCUGGGAAUUGCGAUGGAGACUGCAAGGCUUGAAUCUGGCAGAGGGGGGUAGAAUUCCACGUGUAGCAGUGAAAUGCGUAGAGAUGUGGAGGAACACCGAUGGCGAAGGCAGCCCCCUGGGUCAAGAUUGACGCUCAUGCACGAAAGCGUGGGGAGCAAACACG
rnacentral:rRNA from 1 species